GGGAUUUCGCAAGGGCGAAACCUGACCCACCAUGCCGCGUGAGGGAUGAAGCUCUCGGGUUGUAAACCUCUUUUUUCCGGGGAAGAAAACAAUGGUAGUACCUGAAGAAUCGACCGCUGCUGUACUUCUUGAGCAGCCGCCGAGUUAAUACCGAGGACGGCAGUGUUAUGGGGGAUUAUUGGGUUUUAAGGAUUCAUUGGUGGUACUUGGAGUGUGCGGGGAUAGACCGGUCCUUAACCCUGGGAAGGCCGUGAAAACUUAGCUGGUACAUGGAAACAGGGGGGGAAGGAAUUCCCGGAGGACCGAAGAACUGCUUCUAUCUCGGGAAAAACAUUGGUGGCCAAAGCGAUCUACUGUAGUGCAAAUGACCCUGUAGGACAAAAGCGAGGGUAACGAAUGGGAUUAUAUCCCCCAAUCCUCCUUACCUACCAUGAUGGAUACCACUUGUGGCUUGUAUCCAAUCCCUGUCGUGGCAUAAUUAACACCUUUUUUAUCCCGGCUGUGGAGUCCCCACCCGGGUAUUAAACUCAAGAAUGAAGGGGCAAAGGAAUGGCGG
rnacentral:rRNA from 1 species